GACUUUUACAUUUUUGUUGUAAUAGAUGAAACAGAACAUCAGAAUCCUGUUAAAGAUGAUAUCGUGAAUUCACCAUUAAACAAAACAAUAGUGGAUAAAACAUUUGAGGAGUCGGACCAUACAAAAAGCCAUCUGACAAUUAAGAAUCUCAACAAAAAAAUGUUAAUUGUUGAACUAUGGAAAGAAUGCAAUAUACUUACAAUUUGGCCAAAUUUAUGGAACUGACUUCGGAACAAGUUUUGUAGAAAAUGAAAAUAACCAGCAUGUAAUGGGUUUGAUCAAAACAAAGGACUUUUAAUUGCCUGUGUUAACCUUACCGAGCAGACUAGAACCACGGAAAAUCUUUUUCCAACAAAUAUUUGCCUCAUUAAUGUUCAAAAAAAGCCGGGCAAGUGUGAAGUCAGCCUCCAGUUGUGCAUAGCAAAUCUACUGUCACAGUUGGAAACUUUAUGCUUGGUCAUGGAAGCAAUGAUCACCAGAGAAAGUCAACACAUUAAUACAUUCCCUAUUCUCACAUCCGGGCUUACAAACUUCAACUCCCAGUUUCAACAAAUUUCUGCUUCAGCUCGGCCAGCAAUAGCUCAGUACCUUCUCUCACUUUUU
rnacentral:lncRNA from 1 species